GAUGGGAGCAAUACGAGGACACCUGAAGACUACACAUCGAAACUGUACAAUUAACUUGAGUUGAAUUGAGUUUUGAGGGAGCAAGAAUCUUUUACAGCAAAUUCGGAGCUAUCAUACAGAGUUUGUGAUCUGUCAGAUGUUUAAUAUUUUUUGAAUGAUUGUAUUCUUUUGGCCUGGACAUUAGAUUAUUUUUUUCUUCGCUAGAUUUUAGAGAAAAGAAAAAAAAAA
rnacentral:misc_RNA from 1 species